AACGAACGCUGGCGGCAUGCCUAACACAUGCAAGUCGAACGAGACCUUCGGGUCUAGUGGCGCACGGGUGCGUAACGCGUGGGAACCUGCCCUUAGGUUCGGAAUAACUCCCCGAAAGGGGUGCUAAUACCGGAUAAUGUCUUCGGACCAAAGAUUUAUCGCCUUUGGAUGGGCCCGCGUUGGAUUAGCUUGUUGGUAGGGUAAAAGCCUACCAAGGCGACGAUCCAUAGCUGGUCUGAGAGGAGGAUCAGCCACACUGGGACUGAGACACGGCCCAGACUCCUACGGGAGGAAGCAGUGGGGAAUAUUGGACAAUGGGCGAAAGCCUGAUCCAGCCAUGCCGCGUGAGUGAUGAAGGCCUUAGGGUUGUAAAGCUCUUUUACCCGGGAUGAUAAUGACAGUACCGGGAGAAUAAGCGCCGGCUAACUCCGUG
rnacentral:rRNA from 1 species